GAUGAAGACGUAGCGAAAUGCGAUAAGUAAUGUGAAUUGCAGAAUUCAGUGAAUCAUCGAAUCUUUGAACGCACAUUGCGCCCGCCAGUAUUCUGGCGGGCAUGCCUGUUCGAGCGUCAUUUCAACCAUCAAGCCCCCGGCUUGUGUUGGGGACCUGCGGCUGCCGCAGGCCCUGAAAAGCAGUGGCGGGCUCGCUGUCACACCGAGCGUAGUAGCAUACAUCUCGCUCUGGGCGUGCUGCGGGUUCCGGCCGUUAAACCCCCUUCAUAACCCAAGGUUGACCUCGGAUCAGGUAGGAAGACCCGCUGAACUUAAGCAUAUCAAUAAGCGGAGGA
rnacentral:misc_RNA from 1 species